CGGCGGUGGCAGGGUCGCGGACGCCGCCCCAUCGCGGCGAGGAGCCGAGCUGACGCAAGCCUGUCAGCGUCUGCACCCUCGGAGGACGCGUCAAGGUGCCGGCCGGCGGCAGAUGGCCGACUACACUCUCCAUCAGAGCACUCUCCAAGGUACCGGCCGGCGGCAGAUGGCCGACUACACUCUCCAUCAGAGCACUCUCCAAAGCGGAGGUCUGCAGCCCAACAGUCGACGCGUCUCCGCGGUGGACCCCCCAGCGAUCAGGUGCGCAUCACACCGUACCUGAUUAUCACGACACUGUUGCUGAUGGGAGUAGGUCUCGUCUUAUACCACCUCUACAGUGACGCCACCGGCUCAAGAUGGCGGUUUGCUUACUAGCGGCGACUCAAAAAAGUACUUUUCAGUAUAGGGACGUCCAGGAUCCGUGCUGGCAGAAAAGGCACGUGUUCCUCGGCCCGAACCGUCACUGUGUGCGGUGCAGGAUGCGGCGUCGUGUUGAUUUGCUGUGCUUCAUCUUUUGUG